CAGCAGCCGCGGGAAUACGUAGGGUGCGAGCGCUAAUCGGAAUUACUGGGCGUAAAGCGUGCGCAGGCGGUUGUGUAAGACAGGUGUGAAAUCCCCGGGCUUAACCUGGGAACUGCGCUUGUGACUGCACAGCUAGAGUAUGGCAGAGGGGGGUGGAAUUCCACGUGUAGCAGUGAAAUGCGUAGAGAUGUGGAGGAACACCGAUGGCGAAGGCAGCCCCCUGGGCCAAUACUGACGCUCAUGCACGAAAGCGUGGGGAGCAAACAGGAUUAGAGACCCCAGUAGUCCCUGUCUCUUAUAC
rnacentral:rRNA from 1 species